rnacentral:lncRNA from 1 species
AGAGCCUGUUUGGCACGAGCAUACACUUUGUUUUCCAAUAAUAUGACCCUAUUUGGGGAAACUACUCCAAAUCAGAAAAGAUGUGGAAACUAUGAUGUAGUUCAAACUCUGGGCAGCCUCUGAAUGAAGAGAUAUUUUCUUUAGACUUAUAGUAGCUGCCUUCGACAUCAUGAGGUAUAUAACUAGUAUUUAAUAUGUCCUAUCAAUGUCUUCUUCAGUGUUCUUCAGGGUAAUUGGGACCUCAAAGGAUUUGGUUCGGAUCCAAAUACAUACACAUUCUGUAUUUUAGGUCAGUGUUUUUUUAAAGAAAAU